rnacentral:rRNA from 1 species
UGACGGUACCAUAUGAAUAAGCACCGGCUAACUCCGUGCCAGCAGCCGCGGUAAUACGGAGGGUGCAAGCGUUACUCGGAAUCACUGGGCGUAAAGCGCGCGCAGGCGGCCUUUUAAGUUGGAUGUGAAAGCCUACGGCUUAACCGUAGAACUGCAUCCAAAACUACUAGGCUAGAGUGUGGGAGAGGAAGAUGGAAUUAGUUGUGUAGGGGUAAAAUCCGUAGAGAUAACUAGGAAUACCAAAAGCGAAGGCAAUCUUCUGGAACACUACUGACGCUGAGGCGCGAAAGCGUGGGGAGCAAACAGG